UACGUAGGUGGCAAGCGUUAUCCGGAAUUAUUGGGCGUAAAACGCGCCCAGACGGUCUCUUAAGUCUUAUGUGAAAGCCCCCGGCUCAACCGGGGAGGGUCAUUGGAAACUGGGAGACUUGAGUGCAGAAGAGGAGAGUGGAAUUCCACGUGUAGCGGUGAAAUGCGUAGAGAUGUGGAGGAACACCAGUGGCGAAGGCGGCUCUCUGGCCUGUAACUGACGCUGAGGCGCGAAAGCGUGGGGAGCAAACAGG
rnacentral:misc_RNA from 1 species